GAUGAACGCUGGCGGCGUGCCUAAUACAUGCAAGUCGAGCGAACAGAUGAGGAGCUUGCUCCUCUGACGUUAGCGGCGGACGGGUGAGUAACACGUGGAUAACCUACCUAUAAGACUGGGAUAACUUCGGGAAACCGGAGCUAAUACCGGAUAAUAUAUUGAACCGCAUGGUUCAAUAGUGAAAGACGGUUUUGCUGUCACUUAUAGAUGGAUCCGCGCCGCAUUAGCUAGUUGGUAAGGUAACGGCUUACCAAGGCAACGAUGCGUAGCCGACCUGAGAGGGUGGUCGGACACACUGGAACUGAGACACGGUCCAGACUCCUACGGGAGGCAGCAGUAGGGAAUCUUCCGCGAUGGGCGAAAGCCGGACGGAGCAACGCCGCGGGAGUGAUGAAGGUCUUCGGAUCGUAAAACGCUGUUAUUAGGGAAGAACAAAUGUGUAAGUAACUAUGCACGUCUUGACGGUACCUAAUCAGAAAGCCACGGCUAACUACGUG
rnacentral:rRNA from 1 species